GAUGAACGCUGGCGGCGUGCCUAAUACAUGCAAGUCGAGCGAACAGACGAGGAGCUUGCUUCUUUGAUGUUAGCGGCGGACGGGUGAGUAACACGUGGAUAACCUACCUAUAAGACUGGGAUAACUUCGGGAAACCGGAGCUAAUACCGGAUGAUAUUUUGAACCGCAUGGUUCAAUAGUGAAAGACGGCCUUGCUGUCACUUAUAGAUGGAUCUGCGCUGCAUUAGCUAGUUGGUAAGGUAACGGCUUACCAAGGCAACGAUGCCUAGCCGACCUGAGAGGGUGGUCGGCCAACAGGGAAAGGGGACAACGGCCCGGGUCCUAAGGGAGGGCACAGUAGGGAAAGUUACGGAAAGGGGGGAAGGCUUGAGGAAGCAACGCGAGUUAGUGGUGGAGGUCCUUCGAGCGGAAAAAUGUUUUUAUAGGGGAAAACCUAUGUGUAAGUAAACGUGGACAGCUUGACGGUAACUAAUCAGAAAGCCCCGGCUAACUACGUG
rnacentral:rRNA from 1 species